CGGGGGAACUGGGAUCGUCCCAGGAGCACCGCGAGGAAAACCCCGAGAAGGAGUUACCACCCCACUCAUAGAGGAGGACACCAAUGCAGAGAGAGGUUGGGUCACUCACCAAAGCCACACAGGACGUGGCAGAGCUGGAAUGUGAACCCAGGACAUUAUUUAUUCUACCGCUACAUCACUGAUGAUGGGAACAGAACAAUCGUAUGCUCUCAAUAAAUAAGGAUGAAUGCAUGAUUGAAAUAAUUUAAAAAUCAAAAUACGGAAAACUGAAGCUUCA